GGUUUGGUCCUGACCUUAAAGUCAAUUACUUCUUAAUAUACACAUGCAAGUAUCAGCCCUCCUGUGAAAACGCCCUUAAUUUCCCCAUUAGGGAGAAGGAGCUGGUAUCAGGCACAAAAUAUGCCCAAAACACCUAGCUAUGCCACACCCACAAGGGAACUCAGCAGUGAUUAACAUUAAAUAUAAGCGCCAGCUUGAUUUAGUUAAAGAAAAUAGAGCCGGCAAAUCUGGUGCCAGCCGCCGCGGUUACACCAAGUGACUCAAAUUGACCUUCAUCGGCGUAAAGCGUGAUUUAAGAAUUUUUAAAUUGAAAUUAAAUUAUAAUUAAGCUGUAACACGCUUGUUUGUAAGAAAACCAAACACGAAAGUUAUUUCAAUUAUCUCCGCUUGAAUUCACGACAAUUAGGGUACAAACUGGGAUUAGAUACCCCACUAUGCCUAAUCGUAAACUUUAAUUUACACUAACAUCGCCAGGGAACUACGAGCAAAGCUUAAAACCCAAAGGACUUGACGGUACCCCAAAUCCACCUAGAGGAGCCUGUCCUAUAAUCGAUAACCCCCGUUAAACCUCACCACUUCUAGCUUAUCAGCCUGUAUACCUCCGUCGUCAGCUUACCUCGUGAGCGAAUUAUAGUGAGCCUAAUGCUUAUUUACCAACACGUCAGGUCAAGGUGCAGCAUAUGAAGCGGGAAGAGAUGGGCUACACUUUCUAAUUUAGAAUACACGAAAAAUUAUUUAUGAAAACUAAUUUGAAGGCGGAUUUAGAAGUAAAAAGAAACUAGUGUGUUCUUUUUAACCCGGCACUGGGGUGUGUACACACCGCCCGUCACCCUCUUCAAAGCCCAAUUAUAGUAUCUAACUAAAUCUGCUAUUCAGAAGAGGCAAGUCGUAACAUGGUAAGUGUACCGGAAGGUGUGCUUGGAA
rnacentral:ncRNA from 1 species